GAUGAACGCUAGCGGGAGGCUUAACACAUGCAAGUCGAGGGGCAUCACGAGGUAGCAAUACUUUGGUGGCGACCGGCGCACGGGUGAGUAACGCGUAUGCAACCUACCCUGUACAGUGGGAUAACCCGGAGAAAUUCGGACUAAUACCGCAUAAAGAUAUUUUGAGGCAUCUUAAGAUAUUUAAAGCUUAGGUGGUACGGGAUGGGCAUGCGUAACAUUAGCUGGUUGGUAGGGUAACGGCCUACCAAGGCGAUGAUGUUUAGGGGACCUGAGAGGGGGAUCCCCCACACAGGUACUGAGACACGGACCAGACUCCUACGGGAGGCAGCAGUGAGGAAUAUUGGUCAAUGGGCGGAAGCUUGAACCAGCCAACCCGCGUGCAGGAAGACAGCCCUAUGGGUUGUAAACUGCUUUUCCAGUGGGCGAAACACUCGUACGUGUACGAGAUUGACGGUACACUGGGAAUAAGCAUCGGCUAACUCCGUGCCAGCCGCCGCAGUAACAC
rnacentral:rRNA from 1 species